UACGUAAGCCCCGAGCGUUGUUCGGAAUUAUUGGGCGUAAAGGGCGCGCAGGCGGCCCUGCAAGUCUGGAGUGAAAUCCCCGGGCCCAACCCGGGAACUGCUUUGGAAACUGCAAGGCUGGAGUCGCCGAAGGGAAGCCGGAAUUCCUGGUGUAGGGGUGAAAUCUGUAGAUAUCUGGAAGAAUACCAAUGGCGAAGGCAGGCUGCCAGCAGAUGAUGACGCUGAGGUGCGAAGGUGCGGGGAGCGAACA
rnacentral:rRNA from 1 species